GACGAACGCUGGCGGCGUGCUUAACACAUGCAAGUUGAACGGAAAGGUCCUGCUUUUGUGGGGUGCUCGAGUGGCGAACGGGUGAGUAACAUGUGAGUCACUUGCCCUUGACUUUGGGAUAACUUCAGGAACCUGGGGUUAAUACCGGAUAGGAGCUCCUGCUGCUUGGUGGGGGUUGGAAAGUUUCGGCGGUUGGGGUUGGAUUCUCGGCUUAUUAGCUUGUUGGUGGGGUAGUGGCUCACUAAGGCUUUGACGGGUAGCCGGCCUGAGAGGGUGACCGGCCACAUUGGGACUGAGAUACAGCCCAGACUCCUACGGGAGGCAGGAAUGGGGGAUAUUGCACAAAGGGCGGAAGCCUGAUGCAGCAACGCCGCGUGCGGGAUGACAGCCGUCGGGUUGUAAACCGCUUUCGCCUGUGACGAAGCGUGAGUGACAGUAAUGGGUAAAGAAGCACCGGCUAACUACGUG
rnacentral:rRNA from 1 species